UAGCCCCGAUUGGAGGAUUGCCGGAAAAUUACAAUUUCCUAUUGAGUUAAGAUUCUUAGUAAAAGAAUAAGUUGUAACUCACAAAAUCAGAGCACUCGAUCGACAAAAAGUAGUUCGACGUGGAACUGCAUAUUGUCUAUCGGAACUCCAAGUAUAAGGGAUGAUGGAUUAGCUGUUAUCGGUGCCUUGCUGAAAAUCGUUAAAGGAAAGAAGCGGUCAUUAUCGGCAUUAUACCAAGUCAUUAAUGCAGUCGCAAAGGUUCCAGUUAAGGGGGCGAAGAGGUCUAUUCCGGGCAGCUUUACUUUGAGAUGAUGAGAUGCUGGGAGGCGUGAACCCGAUAAUUUCUACACCUACCAGGGGUCGCUAACCACUUCCCUUUUCUAUGAGGCGGUAACUUUGACUGUAUUGGUAAAGAAUGUUUGCAAUUUAUACAGCCAUCAUGAUCACAAACUAAGCAACAAUAAAAUGGCAGAAUCGGAAAGCAA